UUCUCCUCGAUCUGUUUCUCCUUGGAAUGAAAAGCCACAGUUCUGUCCGAUAGGCAUAUGCUACUUUGCCAGGAUAAAUCUUUUUUGUUCUUAUACUGAUCAAUGGAUAAUGAUGAAUAGGGUCCAGUGGAUUUUUCCUACCAGGUGAGCUUCAUUCUUACCAUCUUCAGGAUAAUAGGAGGACUUGGACGAUAAUAAGGAAAUAUUUACGGAUGAGUGCAUUACGAAAAACAAACAACAGUUUGGAUAUACAGRUGAACAUUAUUUUACAAACGAUUGUAUUUCU